rnacentral:misc_RNA from 1 species
AGUGAUAAGCAGCAUUAGUCCUUCAUUUACUAAGAGACAUAUGAAGAAAUUCAAAACAAAGUACAUUAACAAGCUGAAUUCGUCUCGCAACCCUAUAAGGAAAUAGAAGACUAGACUUGAUGAAAUGGAGAUGAGAAAAAGAAAUGGGAUGCUGGAGAGAAGCUGCCCAAGUAAAAAGACUAAUGCCCCAGAAUGCUUAUUUGAUUCUUCACUGGCAUAUAUCUUGAUUUCC